UACACUGGCAAUUAAUAGCACUGCAACUUUUUGGCUCAUGGGGUGUGAAAACACACCCCCACCCCGAGCACAGCAAGUUGCAGCACUGUAAAGCACCAGUGCAGAUAGUGCACCAGCG